rnacentral:misc_RNA from 1 species
GUACUCUUAAUUCACAGCUAGUACAUGAAUCCCCAGUAACAACAAUUCAUUUGGCUAAACAACAAAAGCAGUAAAUCUCAAAGGAGUCCUCUCCUUCUCUUGUAGUCACUAACACUUAAAGUUAGUGCAUGUCUUCUGCCAUCGUUCUCCGGAACGCUACAUCCAACAGUUGCUUCUAUCCUCUGUUUGCGAGCCAUAAAUCCUGCUUGGCCUCCUUGAGACCCUCCAAACUUCUGAAGCACAGCCAACGAGAUAGGCAGAUCGAAAUCAUGUAGCGUAUUUGAUUCUGUUCCUUGAUCUACAGGAGCAUUUGUGUCCACCAACUUCCCAGCGCCUGCUGCAGCCUGCAAGGCUGCUGCUGUAGCUGCCAUUCCUCCGUCAGCAGUUCCACCAGCCCCAUUGUUAUCUUCAGCUGCCAAUGCUGCUGCUGCAGCAGCUUCACCAUUGGAUGCACCUUUUGCAAAAUAAUUUGUAGACCUAGUCCACCUUCUAGAGAAGGGAUCAUACCCAGCCUCACCAGCUUUCAACAGUUGAUUCACUGGUCUGAGUUCUGAUGCAUUUUUGAAAUUCUCGACCCUAUUCUUCCGGUUCAUCUCAGCCAGCCUGCGGGCCUUGUCAUCUUUCUCUUGAACCUUCCUGCUAUCCUCCAGUUCCUGCAGUCUUGCCUUAAUCCUCUCCACUUCUGCUUCGUCAUUCUUCAUUUUGGCCACUUCCAUAUCCCUUCUCAAACGAUCCUUCUCAGCAGCAACAUUAAGUGGCCUCCAUGUUGCAGAUUUUUUCUGCUGCAACAUCUGCUUUACAGUGUCAGCAGAGUAAACAAAUGUGUUAGAUUUCUGUAUGGCCUCUUUUUUUUCCAACACAUCUUGC